rnacentral:rRNA from 1 species
ACUCAAAGGAAUUGACGGGGACCCGCACAAGCGGUGGAGCAUGUGGUUUAAUUCGAAGCAACGCGAAGAACCUUACCAGCUCUUGACAUCUUCUGAUCACCCUAGAGAUAGGGCUUUCCCUUCGGGGACAGAAUGACAGGUGGUGCAUGGUUGUCGUCAGCUCGUGUCGUGAGAUGUUGGGUUAAGUCCCAUAACGAGCGCAACCCUUAUUGUUAGUUGCCAGCAUUCAGUUGGGCACUCUAGCGAGACUGCCGGUGAUAAACCGGAGGAAGGUGGGGAUGACGUCAAAUCAUCAUGCCCCUUAUGAGCUGGGCUACACACGUGCUACAAUGGACGGUACAACGAGUUGCGAGGCCGCAAGGCUUAGCGAAUCUUUAUAAGCCGUUCUCAGUUCGGAUUGCUCUCUGCAACUCGAGAGCAUGAAGCCGGAAUCGCUAGUAAUCGCGGAUCAGAAUGCCGCGGUGAAUACGUUCCCGGGUCUUGUACACACCGCCCGU